rnacentral:lncRNA from 1 species
GGCUAGGGGUCAAAUCGGAGCUACAGCUGCUGGCCUGCACCACAGCCACAGCAACGUGGGAUCUGAGCUUUGUCUACGACCUACACCCCAGCCCUUGGCAACGCCGGAUCCCUGACCCACUAAAUGAGCCCAGGGAUCGAACCCACAUCCUCAUGGAUACUAGUCGGAUUCCUUUCUUCUGAGCCACAACGGGAACUCCCUGAUUCACUUAUUUUAAUUGGAUCAGUAUUCAUACAUCAAUACUAAAGUUCAUAGUUUACGUUUAUUGGAUUUUGACAGAAAACACAAUGUCACGUACCCACCAUUACAGUGUCCUCAGUUUGGUUUCACUGCCCUCAAAUCCUCCCUGCUCUGCCAGUUUGUCUUUGCCCCUCCUCUUAACCCCUAGCACCCAGAUCUUUCUCCUGUCUCCACAUGUUGCCUUGUCCAGAAUGUCAUGUGGUUGGCGUCAUGGGUGUGUAGCUUUUGGAGACAGGCUUCUUUGAUCUAGCACCAUGCACUUGAGGUUCCUCCUUGUCUCUCUGUGGCCCGAUGAUUCAUGUCUUCUUAUCGUGACAUUGCAUGGCUGUGCCAGCGUGUUCAUCUGCUCACCUUGGAGGGCAUCUUGGUGGCUUCCAAGUCGGAGCAGUCACGAGUGAAAGCGCUGUGAACACAGCGGUGCAGGCCUUUGUGUGCACCGGAGUUUUCACCUCAUUUGAGGAAAGACCCAGACUGCGCUCGCCGGAACGUAUGCGAGGAGUGUGUCUCGUUUUGUGAGAAGCUGCCGAACUGUCUCUGGAAGCGGCUGUGCCACUUUCCCUCCCCAGCCGUGAGCGCGCGCCCACUGCGUCCCGACCUCAGGGGCGCCUGGCACGGUCGGUCGGGGCUCUGGUGGCGUUGGUGUGGCUUCUCACCGCUCUUGUAACUUCAGUUCUCUCGUGACACGAUGUUGAACAGCUUUCCCUGUGCUCGUCUGUGUUUCAGGUGGUUUUUAUUGCAACUUGGCUGAAAGCUACCACGCUUGUUCUCUUGACUGUGUACAGUAGAGAAUUUGAACACAGCCUUUCCUUCGUGACUCAGAGUUAAUCCUCCUGCCUUGCUGCCCCCGGCAGCUAGCGGAGGGGCAGCAGGCCUUUUCCGCCUGUCACUGCCUGCUCUUUGAGGUUUGGCGUGUGCUCUCCCAGCAUUUUCACUCUUCUCUUACCGGGCUGUUGACCUUAUUUCCCUUCCAAUUUCUGACCUGUCGUCCUCAGCAAACCUAACGAGAAGAAACAGUUGUUAGGCGUGUGGGAGAUAUGAGUACAUCAGGAGCACGGCUGUUGGGGCAUAAGGAGUGAGAGGGAGGUCUGUUCUUUGGUAGUGUUUGUGCCCUUUCGCUAGGCUGUGUGUGUGUGUGCCUCUCGAGCUUUAUCUUUGGUUCCCAGAGUGUUCCAGGUAGACCAAGUGUGAGGUAGGUAUUUAUGCAUAAUUAUGUUGUCACGUAAUUGUAUAUUAUUUAUAGCUGCAAGGCACCUAGCAACAAUUCAGCUCCAUGGUUCCCCCUUUUUUCCCUUGCUGUGACCAUUGAAGAUUCAGUCUCUUAGAAGGUAUAAAGGAAAGGAGUGAGGGACAAAAUUAAUUAAGGACAAAACUAGGACACGUGUGGCUAGAGCCUUCCCUUCCAUCCUUUCUGCUUCCUCCAGUGUGUUGGCCAGUGCCACGCUGUGCCUUGCUGGCUGGCUCCCGGGCGGGGCGCCUUGAGCGCUGGGGGUCUGCCUGGAGCCAGGACUUGGGUUGGAAACCUCAAGAGAAGAUGGCAUCCUUGCCCGGUCAGCAUCAGCUGGGCAAAAGGGGGGGAUGAGCUCAGGUCUCACCUGGCUGAUUCCAUCCACCCCGGCUCAGAUUCCAGAGCUGGGCCCCCGCGCUCCCCACCCCUGCCUGCCUGGCCGCCCCCCGGGUCCAGCAGACGUGGGGGUUGCCCUGGGAUCCCUCCCGCUCCUGCUGAGGCGACACCCCUGUUCCUCUGCCUGCUCCCUAUGCUCUUUGUGAUCAGAAAAGGUUUGUGGUCCAUGCUUCCCUGAUUCUCCUUUUUCUAAGAUCUCCUCGGGACCUUUCCUUUACGCUUUGAGGGGCUCAGCAGCAGCCUGAGGCUUUGAGACCUGAAACUGGUAGCAAAUGGCUUGGUCAGUUCCCCUCGUCUUACAGGUGAAGAAACGGAACCCAGGGAGAUUGUAAGAUACGUGUUCAGGGGCACACUCUGAACUGGGAAGUAGGACUUCUGUCCAUUUCUGAUCUUGGAGAAUGCUGCGCACAAGGUGUAAAGAAAGCCUGCCAGACAGCAGAACAUUAAUUAAGGACCUUAAAGCUUCUGUGGCAUGAUGCCAGUAAGGCUGUGCACCCAAGUUGGUGGUAGUUAAGAAAAAGAAAUAUCAGAUACAUUGACAUCACAGCACUGAAGCUAACAUUUAUCAUGUUUUUGCCAUGUGCCAAAUACUUGUAUCGCUUUAUGAAAUCCAUGAACUAGUUCGAAGAUGUUAUUUACUGCUGUUCUCCUUUUGCAGAAGAAACGGAAGCUGAUGGUGACUUGCCCUAGUCACAUGGCUCCUAAGAAGGAGAAGAAGGAUGGGAUUUGACUCGGUUUAGUUCCAGAGCCCAGUCUUUUGCCACAUUCGAGGGUUACUUCCAACAGUGUUAAAUGCAAAAGGACUCAGUUCCUAAAAUAAAUUUGUUAACAUUCACCCAUUUCUCUGAGGUUAUUCAUCACCAGUUUACUGUGCCCUUUUGGUAAUGCUUUUUUUUUUUUUUUUUUUUUUUGAAACCAGGAGGCUUUUAGGCAGACUCCAGUAGUAUAUUCUGUUAUAGUGUUCAUGUUUAUAAUGAUAGGAAAAAGUAAUGGCUUUUGUGUUGUGGGAUUAACAUGAAUUUAGGAGUAUUGCUACCCUUUGCUGUAUCAAAGUAUAAACAUACACCUGCUUGUCUUUCAGGCAGGCUUUUUGAAAUCAACGAAUCAUUCUAAGUGUUUCCAUGAAUUUAGACCCCAGCCUAAGUGACAUGGCGCUCAGUCCGUUAUUUUUACUAAUAGGAUUCCUGCCAGUGUUCCACCCACUGGUGACGGCUCCGCAGUCCUUAGCCGUGUGUGGGUGGCUGUCAGUUACCAGGAGAGCCGCCCCAUGUCCUUGGCCCCAGCCUUAGUAUCUGUAUUUGACAGAGUGGAGUUUAGCUCUGAAUGUCCAAAAUGCUUUGCAUUCGCACAUCUUAAAUAACUUCUUUCAACAAAUAACUAAUCGUGGUAUGACUGCCGUAUCCCACAACAUAGAUCCUCAACCAUAGUGUUAGCCGUCAUUGUUGUAAUUAGAGAGGAAUGAAUCAAGCUUCAUUUGGGAUUUGUAAAAUUACCUCCAGCUAUCUCUCCAACAUUUUGAAAUAUAUUUUACAACAUUUCUCAAACAGACUUUACCAAGCAUAUUUUCUCUAAUUUUUAAUGAAAUCCCCUUGUGUAUUUUAAGGGAAAUUUAAUCCGUAAGUUUGUGAUUGAUUUGUGCUUAACUCAUCAAAGUUAAUUUUUAAGAGCAGUUUGGUUUCCAAGAAGCCUUAGGAAACACUUCUCAUGAAUUCUGUCAGCCUUUAAAAGCCUUUUCCCUAAUCACCCUUUUCCCCUCAGAGAUACAUGUGUAUGAAAUAUUUUAGUGUGGUGUACAGGGCAGAGCCUGUAUUUCUAAAUCUAAGCUAGUUCUGCAUUUAGCAUAAUAAGGGAGUCUGCCUUUCGUGUAAGAACUCCCUUCAGUUGUCUUUUCUUCAAAGCACGGCUCUGUGAAGAGCUGCUAAUGGCAGUGCUCUCUUGAAAACCCAGCGCACGACGGUGCCGGCCGUCUCCCCAAGUCGCAGCUCGGGGGACAGUGUGAGCUGAGCAGACCCAACGGGCUGCAGUGGCUGUUUAUCGGGGAGCCAUCCUGUCUGCUGAGUAGAUGCGGUGUUUCUGCCUCCUCAGAUACGCAUGUCCACACUCGCACCAUGCUUAAACUCUUAGGGCUUAGCUUUUUUUGUUGUGACCGCUACUUCUACACUCUAACAAGACAGUACUGGGUGCUGGCUUAAAUUAAUAAUUUAUUGUGAAAUGACCGUAAUUGUUCUCGUCUCUCUUGAGAACUGUUUUUCACCUGAGAUUUAGUUCUACAGGUUCCUGUUGCCUAGCAGUGGGUCUUUGAGAACAGCUUUUUGUCUAGUUUUAAUUGAACGGGCUGAUUGUCUGAAAUCUUCUUAGAAGAAAGUAAGGUUAUUGCAGUGAAGGUAAAAGGAACUAUGGUGACAACUAAUGGGACAAAAUGUCAUCCAGCAUAGCAGCUCUGGGAGAGAUUUGCAGAAACACAGCAACGUUAAGAAUGGAGUUUGCUCAAGGCAGCCCUUAGGAACUGCAUCCAGAGAUAGUCACGGUAAAAGAAAAACACCAUUUUCUGGGUUCUCGUUAGGGAAUUGUAGGAAAUGGGUAUUUUCUGCUUACAAGAAACAACCUCUUUAGUUCCUAUUCUGUUUUGUUUUUUUUUGUUUUUUUUUUUUUGCUUUUUAGGGCCACACCCACGAUGUAUGGACAUUCCCAGACUCAGGGUCCAUUCGGAGCCUACACCGCAGCCACAACAACGCCAGAUCCUUAACCCACUGAGGGAGGCCAGGGAUUGAACGUGCAUCAUCAUGGUUUCUAGUGGGAUUCAUCUCCGCUGUGCCACUGUGGGAGCUCCAUUUAGUUCCUAUUCUUUUUUUUUUUUUUUUUUUGUCUUUUUGCCUUUUUUGGGGCUACUCUUGCAGCAUAUGGAGGUUCCCAGGCUAGGGGUCUAAUCGGAGCUGUAGCCACUGGCCUGCGCCACAGCCACAGCAACGAGGCAUCCAAGCCGUGUCUGCAACCCACACCACAGCUCGAGGCAACGCCGGAUCCUCAACCCACUGAGCAAGGCCAGGGAGUGAACCUGCAACCUCAUGGUUCCUAGUCGGAUUCGUUAACCACUGUGCCACAACGGGAACUCCUUAGUUCCUAUUCUUAAUGAAAACAUUUUCUGCCUGAAUUUUUUAGUGUGGCGUUAUUAAACAAUGAAAACAUCUUUUCCAUACUUUUCAAAGUCUACCAGUUCCCUAUAUGUUUUGUUGGUUUGUACUAUAAAUGAACUCUAAAUAUUUUAGGAAAAAGUUUUAUGAUAGAUAAGUUCUUUUUAAAAUUUAGCACCUAAUUUUUUAAAAAUCAAAAUGAAAAAUUUCUUGCAUAAAGGGGAACGUUUACCUUUUACUUUGUUUUUCUUCCAUGUGGUAAAUCUUUUCCUUUACAAAGGAAGUGUGCUUACAGAAUUACUGAGGUGGUUUUUAGAAAGCAGUAAUCAUAGAAACCCCGUCCGUGCUUGCCCUAAUCUGUCUCCCCAAAGCCCUUGGUCUGAAAGCCAGCCGUGGCUCUUGUCCUUAUUACAUGUGACUCGUGGAACAGGAUUGUGCUGUUCACUGUGUACACUGGCACGGUGCCCUAGCAGCCCCUGUGAUGCUGCCUCAACAUCAGGAAGCUGUUUGUGAGUUUUACACCGUAUUGUAUACUAUAUUACAGUGUAUUUACUCUGUUGAUAAGUUACAGAAUAUCUGUAGUAUUUCUGCAUAAUCUAUAAAAAUACGACAUUAGAAAAUCUAGGGACUGUAAAUAUGAAAACAUGAAAAAAAGUUCUUUGGCACAAAAUCCCCUCCAAAAUAUGAAUAAUAUUUGCAUUGAGAGCCAUGAGAUUAAAUAUGCUUCAUUUUAUUAAAAAAUACUUUGGGUGAGACUAACUGGGUAUGGCGAUUUGGUUAAUUUUAGUGCAAAAUAGGAAUAAUAUUUGCAUUAAGAGCCAUGAGAUUAAAUAUGCUUCAUUUUAUUUAAAAAUACUUUGGGCGAGGCUAACUGGGUAUGGCAAUUUGGUUAAUUUUAGUGCAAAAUAGGAAUAAUACUUGCACUGAGAGCCAUGAGAUUAAAUAUGCUUCAUUUUAUUUAAAAAUACUUUGGGCGAGGCUAACUAGGUAUGGCAAUUUGGUUAAUUUUAGUGCCAAGUAUGAAUAAUACUUGCACUGAGAGCCGUGAGAUUAAAUAUGCUUCAUUUUAUUAAAAAAUACUUUGGGCUAGGCUAACUAGGUAUGGCGAUUUGGUUAAUUUUAGUGCUUUUUUUAUUUUUAUUAUUUUUGGCUGUGCCUGUGGCACACGGAAUUUCCUGGGGUCUAACCCGCACCUCAGCAGCAACCCAAGCCUCUGCAGUGACAACGCUGGAUCCCUGACCCGUUGUGCCAGGAGAGAGCUCCCAGGUGCUUAGUUUUAAUGACUUUUGUAGAUAAAAAUGUUAUUUUCACAAAAGUGUGUAGAUCUAAGUGGAAGAAAUAAAUCAUUGGCUGCAGU